UUUGACUCUGGCCUGAAAUCAGGUAG
rnacentral:rRNA from 1 species